AUGUACAUGCCUACAACACAACGUUAAUGCCUUGGAUCCCAUUAGAACUCUGUAGUUAAGCGCACUCAGGCUAGAGUAGUAUUGGGAUGGGUGAUUGCCCGAGAAGUCCUAGUUUUUUACUGU
rnacentral:rRNA from 1 species